GGUGAUACACAGGUGCUGCAUGGCCGUCGUCAGCUCGUGUCGUGAGAUGUAGGGUUAAGUCCCGAAACGAGCGCAACCCCUAUCCCAUGUUACAAGUGUCUUGGGAAACCGCCUCGGUAAAACGAGGAGGAAGGUGGGGAUGACGUCUGGUCCGCAUAGCCCUUAUGUCCUGGGCUACACACACGCUACAAUGGCCAAUACAGUAGGAAGCCAAAUCGUAAGAUGGAGCUGAUCCUCAAAGUUGGUCUCAGUUCGGAUUGAGGUCUGAAACUCGACCUCAUGAAGUUGGAUUCGCUAGUAAUCGUGAAUCAGCCAUGUCACGGUGAAUACGUUCUCGGGUCUUGCACACACCGCCCGUCAAGCCAUGGGAGUAGGUGAUACCCGAAGGUGUUCUGUCUCUUGUAGAUGGAAUGACGAAGGUAACGCUUAUGACUGGGGUUAAGUCGUAACAAGGUAGCCGUAGGGGAAUCUGCGGCUGAAUUACCUCCUUUCUAAGG
rnacentral:rRNA from 1 species